GACAGAGGUGCCGAGCGUUAGGCGGAAUCACUGGGCUUAAAGCGUGUGUAGGCGGGCGGGCAAGUACCUUGUGAAAUCCCACGGCUCAACCGUGGAACGGCUGGGUAUACUGCCUGUCUUGAGCCAACUAGGGGCGAGCGGAACAGACGGUGGAGCGGUGAAAUGCGUAGAUAUCGUCUGGAACGCCGAAGGUGAAAACAGCUCGCUGGGGUUGUGCUGACGCUGAGACACGAAAGCGUGGGGAGCAAACAGG
rnacentral:rRNA from 1 species